rnacentral:rRNA from 1 species
AUUGAACGCUGGCGGCAGGCCUAACACAUGCAAGUCGAGCGAGCGGCGGACGGGUGAGUACUGUCUGGGAAACUGCCUGAUGGAGGGGGAUAACUACUGGAAACGGUAGCUAAUACCGCAUACCAUCAGAUGUGCCCAGGUGGGAUUAGCUGGUGGGUGGGGUAACGGCUCACCUAGGCGACGACCCCUAGCUGGUCUGAGAGGAUGACCAGCCACACUGGAACUGAGACACGGUCCAAACUCCUACGGAAGGAAGCAGUGGGGAAUAUUGCACAAUGGGCGAAAGCCUGAUGCAGCCAUGCGCGGUGUGGGAGGAAGGCCUUCGGGUUGUAAAGCACUUUCAGCGGGGAGGCGUUACCCGCAGAAGAAGCACCGGCUAACUCCGUGCCAGCAGCCGCGGUAAUUC